rnacentral:rRNA from 1 species
CCACGGGAAACUGUGGCUAAUACCGCAUAAUAUCGAAAGAUCAAAGGGGGACUCUGCUUGCAAGCUCUCACCUGUAGAGCGGCCUAUUUCCCAUUAGCUAGUUUGUAGGGUAAUGGCCUACCAAGGCUACGAUGGGUAGCUGGUCUGAGAGGACGAUCAGCCACACUGGAACUGAGACACGGUCCAGACUCCUACGGGAGGCAGCAGUGGGGAAUCUUGCACAAUGGGCGAAAGCCUGAUGCAGCAACGCGCGCUGAGUGAAGAAGGUCUUUGGAUUGUAAAGCUCUUUCGGCUGGGAAGAAGGGGUUGCGGAUUAAUACUCCGUGAUUCUGACGGUACUAGAAGAAGAAGCACCUGCUAACUACGUGCCAGCAGCAGCGGUAAUACGUAGGGUGCAAGCGUUGUUCGGAGUGACUGGGCGUAAAGGGCGCGUAGGCGGGUUUGCAAGUCGAUUGUGAAAACCCCGGGCUUAACCCGGGACGUGCAGUCGAAACUGCAGAUCUUGAAUGCCUGAGAGGUUAGUGGAAUUCUUGGUGUAGGAGUGAAAUCCGUAGAUAUCAAGAGGAACACCGGAGGCGAAGGCGGCUAACUGGUGGUGCAUUGACGCUAAAGCGCGAAAGCGUGGGGAGCAAACAGGAUUAGAUACCCUGGUAGUCCACGCUGUAAACGAUGGAUACUCGGUGUUUGAGGAAUUAACCCCUUGAGUACUGAAGCUAACGCAUUAAGUAUCCCGCCUGGGAAGUACGGUCGCAAGGCUAAAACUCAAAGGAAUUGACGGGGGCCCGCACAAGCGGUGGAGUAUGUGGUUUAAUUCGAAGCAACGCGCAGAACCUUACCUACCUUUAACAUCCCACGACGUUUGCAGAGAUGUAAACUUCCCUUCGGGGACGUGGAGAUAGGUGCUGCAUGGCUGUCGUCAGCUCGUGUCGUAAGAUGUCUGGUUAAGUCCAAUAACGAGCGCAACCCUUGUCUUUAGUUACCAUCAUUAAGUUGGGGACUCUAAAGAGACUGCCGGUGUUAAACCGGAGGAAGGCGGGGAUGACGUCAAGUCCUCAUGGCCCUUACAGGUAGGGCUACACACGUACUACAAUGGCAGAGACAAACCGUUGCGAAAUCGCGAGAUGGAGCUAAUCGGUAAAACACUGCCUCAGUUCGGAUUGGAGUCUGCAACUCGACUCCAUGAAGUUGGAAUCGCUAGUAAUCGCUGAUCAGCAAGCAGCGGUGAAUACGUUCCCGGGCCUUGUACACACCGCCCGUCACACCACGAAAGUGGUCAUAACCAGAAGUUAUUGAGCUAACGCAAGAGGCAGGUUACCAAGGUUGUGGCUGCGAUUGGGGUGAAGUCGUAACAAGGUA